GACGAACGCUGGCGGCGUGCCUAAUACAUGCAAGUAGGACGCAGUUGCGAACGGGUGAGUAACGCGUAGGUAACUACCUAUUAGAGGGGGAUAACUAUUGGAAACGAUAGACAAUACCGCAUACUAGUAGAUGGACCUGCGUUGUAUUAGCUAGUAGGUAGGGUAAUGGCCUACCGAGGCAACGAUACAUAGCCGACCUUGGCGAGUGAUCCGGCACACUGGGACGGUGACAAGGCCCAGACUCCUAAGGGCGGGAGCAGGAGGGAGUCUUCGGCAAUGGGGGGAACCCUGACCGAGCACCGCCGCGGGAGUGAAGAAGGUUUUCGGAUCGUGAAGCUCUGUUGUUAAGGAAGCGGUACUUAACCAGAAAGGGACGGCUAACUACGUGCCAGCAGCCGCGGUAAUAC
rnacentral:rRNA from 1 species